UCUCUUCAUUCCCGGUAAAUACAGGUGGGAGCGCUUAGACUAUAGGAGUCUCUGCUCUUUUGGAUGCAAAUUCUUCUGCCCAGGUCCAGCACAGCGGGGUCUCUGUCUCUGCUUAAGGCUUUGCAGUACUGUCGUAAUAGCAGCGAGAGUAAUGAAGAGGAUAGACUCGCUGGAAAGAUAGCGUAGCAGCGACUCGCAGACAGGCUCCUGCCAGCGUCUGCAGCUUCAGCACAAAGCUGCCUGCAGCUUAUCUUUUUUCUGGCUAGGAGAAACCUACCGACAGCAGGUCUGAGUGAUGGAGUGUGGCAGCAGGGGAUGUCUCUUCUGGGUCCUUUGACUGCAGGGCUGUCAUUCGAGGAUGCAAAAGGGAAGGAAAAGGGUCCCACCAGUAGCUGGGGUUUGUAACUCUGUGAGGAGAGGGGGCUGCAGUUGUGACCUACAAGCAAAGGACUCUCGCUUUGUAUUAGCUGCUGGCGGCCUCCCCCCAGGGCCAUUGCAUUGCUCAACGUCUCUCUUUUUUCCAGUCCUUUGAACCACUUUUGACCUGGAAACUUUUUGUUUUUCUGAACGCUGACCUCUCAAGUCACAGAGGUUAGCUCUAGAAAAAGGACGUGGGUUCAAAUCCCCCAGCGAGGGCCCGCUGGGAAUGAAACCCCCAGACGUGGAUCGAAGGAAGACCCUGGUGCAGGGACGGCUGCCACUCUGGAGGGCCGGCAGCAGCACUGGCUCUGCGCUGGGCUGGCGCUGCUUUCACGGAGGCCUCCCAGGAGCUGCCGCCAGGACUCUCAGUCGCCCUGCUGGAAAGGGCGUUUCUCCAUACUGGGGAAUGCAGAAAGACGGUGACAGACAACGCUUUGAAGGGGGAGCUGAGGCCCUUCCAGCAGGAUCUUGAACCACUGGACAUUGAAAGAGGGCUUUCCCUGUGUCUUAGACACCUCUUGGGAUGUGGGAAUUACCACUCAGAAGCGCCUGGUGCCACCAGCUAUAGAGUCAGUGCGUACAACUGCCUUUUAGGUCACCAGCAUCAGGGGUGAUGGAACCCACCUGUCCCUGCCUGGAGUGUGGGGUCUGCAUCCACUGCAGGGACCCCAGGGCAAAGGGUUCAUUUUCAGAAUUGUGGAGCUGUCAGAGAAGCCAAGAGGAGGGAGACUGAGCAUGAAAGCACAAAGAAGCGAGCAAAGAGGUGUCAGAAACUGCGUGCAAACAGCAAAUUUGCGUGGCAAACAAAAGCGAGCACAACUGUUGCUUAAGCGGUUUGAUGGCAUGACAGGAGUUCCCUGACGACCCCACAAUCGUUUUGUUGUUGAAAGCCAGCGAGGAUAACUACAUGGUUGAAAAUAAAAUGGCUGUCCACUUGGAGCCACACUGCAAAAAAAUUCUGAGCUGUACAGUCGGUGCUUGAUGGACAGAUAGACUGAGGGAAAAAAGGAGCGUUGGAAAGACAAUGAACUGGCCCUACUCAGUAUUAAGGGCACCUCUAUUAAUACCUCAGAAAACAUUAAUAAAUGAUUCAUAGCUGUUUGCAA